rnacentral:tRNA from 1 species
GCCUCAGUGGCGAAAUGGUAGACGCAGUGGACUUAAAAUCCACCGUGGUAAAACACGUGCCGGUUCGAGUCCGGCCUGAGGCA